rnacentral:piRNA from 1 species
UACCAGAGAUUAUGGCCAAAUUGCACG